rnacentral:rRNA from 1 species
AACGAACGCUGGCGGCAGGCUUAACACAUGCAAGUCGAGCGCCCCGCAAGGGGAGCGGCAGACGGGUGAGUAACGCGUGGGAAUCUACCCAUCCCUACGGAAUAGCUCCGGGAAACUGGAAUUAAUACCGUAUACGCCCUACGGGGGAAAGAUUUAUCGGGGAUGGAUGAGCCCGCGUUGGAUUAGCUAGUUGGUGGGGUAAAGGCCUACCAAGGCGACGAUCCAUAGCUGGUCUGAGAGGAUGAUCAGCCACAUUGGGACUGAGACACGGCCCAAACUCCUACGGGAGGCAGCAGUGGGGAAUAUUGGACAAUGGGGGCAACCCUGAUCCAGCCAUGCCGCGUGAGUGAUGAAGGCCUUAGGGUUGUAAAGCUCUUUCACCGGGGAAGAUAAUGACGGUACCCGGAGAAGAAGCCCCGGCUAACUUCGCGCCAGCCGCCGCAGUAAUAC